CCUACGGGAGGCAGCAGUAGGGAAUCUUCCACAAUGGGCGAAAGACUGAUGGAGCAACGCCGCGUGGGUGAAGAAGGUCUUCGGAUCGUAAAACCCUGUUGUUAGAGAAGAAAGUGCGUGAGAGUAACUGUUCACGUUUCGACGGUAUCUAACCAGAAAGCCACGGCUAACUACGUGCCAGCAGCCGCGGUAAUACGUAGGUGGCAAGCGUUAUCCGGAUUUUUUGGGCGUAAAGGGAAUGCAGGCGGUCUUUUAAGUCUGAUGUGAAAGCCUUCGGCUUAACCGGAGUAGUGCAUUGGAAACUGGGAGACUUGAGUGCAGAAGAGGAGAGUGGAACUCCAUGUGUAGCGGUGAAAUGCGUAGAUAUAUGGAAGAACACCAGUGGCGAAAGCGGCUCUCUGGUCUGUAACUGACGCUGAGGUUCGAAAGCGUGGGUAGCAAACAGGAUUAGAUACCCGAGUAGUC
rnacentral:rRNA from 1 species